AUUGAACGCUGGCGGAAUGCUUUACACAUGCAAGUCGAACGGCAGCACGGGGCAACCUGGUGGCGAGUGGCGAACGGGUGAGUAAUACAUCGGAACGUGCCCAGUCGUGGGGGAUAACGUAGCGAAAGUUACGCUAAUACCGCAUACGAUCUAUGGAUGAAAGCGGGGGAUCGCAAGACCUCGCGCGAUUGGAGCGGCCGAUGUCAGAUUAGGUAGUUGGUGGGGUAAAGGCCUACCAAGCCGACGAUCUGUAGCUGGUCUGAGAGGACGACCAGCCACACUGGGACUGAGACACGGCCCAGACUCCUACGGGAGGCAGCAGUGGGGAAUAUUGCACAAUGGGCGAAAGCCUGAUGCAGCGACGCCGCGUGAGGGAUGACGGCCUUCGGGUUGUAAACCUCUUUCAGCAGGGAAGAAGCGAAAGUGACGGUACCUGCAGAAGAAGCACCGGCUAACUACGUG
rnacentral:rRNA from 1 species